AGGAUUAGAUACCCUGGUAGUCCACGCCGUAAACUAUGGAUGCUAGCUGUUCACGGUAUCGACCCCGUGUGUAGCGAAGCUAACGCGUUAAGCAUCCCGCCUGUGGAGUACGGUCGCAAGACUAAAAUAUAAAGGAAUUGACGGGGACCCGCACAAGCGGUGGAGCGUGUUGUUUAAUUCGAUGGUAAGCGAAGAACCUUACCCAGGCUUGACAUCCUGCGAAUUUCUCCGAAAGGAGAAAGUGCUUUAUUGAGCGCAGUGACAGGUGUUGCAUGGCCGUCGUCAGCUCGUGUCGUGAGACGUUUGGUUAAGUCCAUCAACGAGCGCAACCCUUGUGAGUAGUUGAAUUUUUCUACUCAGACUGCCCUGGUAACAGGGAGGAAGGAGGGGUCGAAGUCAGGUCAGUAUUACCCUUACGUCUGGGGCUACAAACACGCUACAAUGGCCGGUACAAAGGGCAGCCAAGUCGCGAGACGGAGCAAAUCCCAUCAAAGCCGGUCUCAGUUCGGAUAGCAGGCUGAAACUCGCCUGCUUGAAGUCGGAAUCGCUAGUAAUCGCGGAUCAGCAUGCCGCGGUGAAUACGUUCCCGGGCCUUGUACACACCGCCCGUCACACCAUGGGAGUUGGUUUG
rnacentral:rRNA from 1 species